CCAGGUAAAAAUCCAGCUAUUCUGACCCUCACCCAGGCCUGAGCCUGCCAAUCGGGAAUGUGACAAGCGUGUUGGUGGGAGGCUGGGCCUUCAGGGAGGGACAUCGUGUGCUUUUCAGCUUGUGAAGAAAUGUGAGGAUUCACUCUCCAUUUCCCAAGAUGCUCAAACAAGAGGAAAUCGGCUUACAUCAAGUGGAGACAGUUCAAGAGGCCCAGGAGCAGCCUGGCUGGCUGGUCAUAAUGUAUUCAAAUGCAAUUAAGUCCAGUGAAAAGAAGGAGGGAGGCUGAGGCCCGGGAAGGGCCACACUGUGGAGGACCAAGGUCAAGGCCUUCAGGGCACGUCCCCUGCUAGUGAGGAGAGGAGAAAAAAAAUCUACCUAAGAGAACAGUUUUGGAGGUUCAGUGGAAGGACGGGUUGGAAGGACCUUGGCUUUUAUUGUGGAAGGCCCAGAGACGGCACAUUUGUGUUUCUCAAUCAACAGAAAGUCAAAGGGACCCAUGUCUUACCUGAAGGAGCCGAGGUGAGAGCAGAUCCCUGAGACUCCUUCUAACCAGAGCUCCUGUUAAUUUUUUUUUUUAUCUCUAGUUUCUGUUUAUUGGCAGAACAGCCUUGGGCAAAUCUCUUCCCCUCUCAAGGACUCAGUUCCAGAUCUGUAAAGUCUGGGUAAGUUGAAUUAUCUUUAAAGUAAGCAGCAGUGAGCUUUCUUUUUUUUUUUUUUUAAUUUUUUUCAACGUUUUUUAUUUAUUUUUGGGACAGAGAGAGACAGAGCAUGAAUGGGGGAGGGGCAGAGAGAGAGGGAGACACAGAAUCGGAAACAGGCUCCAGGCUCUGAGCCAUCAGCCCAGAGCUCGACGCGGGGCUCGAACUCACGGACCGCGAGAUCGUGACUAGGCUGAAGUCGGACGCUUAACCGACUGCGCCACCCAGGCGCCCCAGCAGUGAGCUUUCUAAUAUGGCAACUAACAAUACCAAGUUUAGGGGCGCCUGGGGGGCUCAGUCGGUUAAGGGUCUCACUUCGGCUCAGAUCAUGAUCUCGUGGUUUGUGGGUUUGGGCCCCGCAUCGGGCUCUGCACUGGUGGUGUGGAGCCUGCUUGGGAUUCUGUCUCCCUCUCCCUCUGCCCCUCCCCCACUUGUGCUUGCUCGCGCGCUCUCUCUCUCUCUCUCUCUCAAAAUAAAUAAACUUAAAAACAAAAAUAAUGCCAAGCUAAAUACUGUAUUAAAUAUGGGGGCAUUGGUGACAGACAGUGAUAUCUACCCUGGACAAAGUGAGAAGUGGAAGGGUCAAGGCCCCGAGCAUAGAUCAUAUGGUACAGACCAGUGGGGGGCUGGAGACCUGGGCUAUGCUGGCGGACAUUGAGGUUCCUGGUUGAGGCCCUGAGUGAGGACUAGAAGGAGGCGGCUUGGUGUUGGGCAAAGGGGCUUUGGAUCCACACGGUCCUGGGUUUGUAUCCUAUGGUCGUUUACCUGUGUGAGCUCAGACAAGUUAGGGUACUGAACUACUUCAGACCUCGGUUUCCUUAUCUGUAAAAUGGAGCAGAUGAUGCCCAUUAUUCUACAGAUUUCUAGAACGUUCAUUCAAAGUGAUUGCUCCAACCCCACUGGACAAGCUUUUGAGGAGACAGGGUCUCCCUUAUCUCUAUAUCCCUGGUAACCAACUAGCCUAGCUCGUUUGGGCAGCUAGUUUGGCACGGGGGCUUAUUUGCCAAAUGGGACAGUAGCAUCAUGGAAUUAGUGUGAGGGUUAAAUAUGUGACAGAUGUUAAAUUCUCACCACGACGCCUAUUACAUGGCAGGUUCUCUGUAAAAAAACAAAUAUAUAAAUUCCUUCCCUUCUCUGUGCUACUACUGGCCAAGGGGCCCAGAGAUUCUCGAACUGACGGUUGUCAAACAGUUUAACAACUGGAUUCAUCAUAGAUGCUCGAUAAAUGUUCGCUGGACAGAAGGCAAGAUGUGCGUGGUGGGGAAGACCCAGGCCCUGUUUGGGACUUCUUGGUGGAAGUCCGGGGUCCUCAUGAAUGAGUCGAUGUUUCAGAGGGAAGGGGCAGACUUUUCCUUUAGUCAUUUGACUGACUGAGCCCCUGCAAUGUGCCAGGCACGGUCUUAGCGGUGGGAAGUCCUUGCCUGCAUAAAACUUAUAUCCUGGUGGGAAGCAGACAAGGAUAAUGCUAUAAGGGAAAAUAAAGAGGACCGGGGGACGAGAGUGACGAGGCACUGUGUUAGGUAGUGUGGCCAGGAAAGCUUCCAUGCAGAGGGGGCAUUUGGGCAGAUGCCUGGCAGACUGGGCUGAGGGAACAGCAGGUAGAAAGGUCCUGAGACAGGAGUCGCAGGGCCAAUGAGGAGGUCGGGGUGGCUGGCAUGGGGUCAGUGAGGGGAAGAGAAAGAUGGGAUGAAGUCAGAGAGGUCACGGGGGUGGGGCCCACAGCCUUGUAAGUCCUUUCACCACAGAGUGAGAUGGGAGCCAGUGGGGGGAGCUCCAGCAGAGUGCUGCAACUUGACUUUGGUUUCCGGUGCCUCUGUGAAGAUUCUGGUCGCCAAACUGUAAGGGCUGGGAGGCUCCCCUCACUUGGAAAAUCAUGAGUGGCUGGAAGGAAGAAGAGAGCAGGAGAAGUGAGAGAGGAAGCUAGUGCCCACUGGGCCGCCACAGACCCCAGGGCAGGGAAGCGUGGGAGGAGUGGAUCCUAGGGCAAGAGAGGCUGCUGGGCUGGCAGCGGGAGGGCCUGGGGCUUCUCUUUGCCCAUGGACCCAGUUAGCUGGCGCUAUGAUCUGGGGAGAAGUGGGAGGGAGGGGCGGUGUGGGGUUCUGGUUGGGAUAGUAGGGCACCUGGCUGGAAGACUGUCACCCUCUAGGAGGAAAGGGGACGAGAGGUGUGGAGAGCUCUGUGUCCGGCUUUAGCGUCCUCCUCUACUCCGGCAGAGCAUGGCUUCUCCCCACACCUCCCAGGCAGGUCCUCACUGCUCUUGGGUACCUGACCUUGCUGUUACUGGUGGAGUUUCUUAUCAAGGGAAGAGUUCAGGUGACCUUGAAUGCAGCGUUCGCCCUCCCUACGCUUCUUAGUAAAAGAAGGGGUUUAACUAGAUGGUCUCCAACCAAGCCCCUUCUAGCAUUUCUAUUAAUGGAUGGAAUCAGACACUACAUCUCUCCCACCUCCUUACUGCCAUGUGGUUUCAAGUUUCUGCCAUGCCCUCUAUCUUUCCUUUUCUCUCCAGGGCUGCCAUGUGUGAUGGUGGAGGGUGUUCACUGCACAAGGACACCCAGCCAAGGGAGUAAGUAGAGGCUCAGACCCGCCCAUGCCCUGCUUAACAAGCCAUGUGCCCUGUCUGGCUCAGGGUUUCAUUUACCCGGAGUAAAGAACACAUUUUUCUAGUCUGUCCCUGUCCCAUGCAGAGUCCUUCUUCUGCUCUUCUGGGUCCCUGUUCUCCGACCAUCACCAGUCUCCACCAGGGCAAAUCUGAGGGCGGCAUUUACACGAAGUGUACUGAGAGGGUGGACAGCAGCUGCCUCCCCUGUGAGGAACUCUGCCUCCUAAACCCCGUGGUGCUUUUCCUCUCCUUAUCAAUGCUGCGAGUUGCCUCUCGAAAUUGCUCUGCCGUCAUUAACACCGCGGAUUAGGUCAGAUGAGCGCGUGUGUGCAGUCUUAGAUGGCAAAGGCAAAGCGCUGAUGCUGAUUAUUCUAGAUCUUCUGGGCAUGGCCCAUUCCGUGCUCACAGUUCUUAAUCAGAGGGACGUGCGUUGGUUACGCGGCCGGGUGGGCCAGGGCCAUGGCUGGUUCUGAUGUGGCUGCCAGGCCCAGACAACACGUCUGCAGCACCUGCCGGCCUGCUGGCAUCACAAGUGACCUCAGUAGAAGAAAUGGCCCAUCGGAUGGCAUGCCUGCUGGCUGCUUUUGAACCAUCAGCAAUUCAUUUGAGCAAGGACUAUGAGCAUUUUGCCCUGGGCCUGAACACCAAGUUUUGUGUUCUGGGGCUCACUCUGUUGGCCAUGUGGCUGAGGGGUAUCUUCCAGACCCCCACUCCUGAAGUGCUCCCUUCUGAAAAGCUUCUGGAGGAGGAGGAGGAGGCCAAGACCUGUGGCCUUGCAUCAUGGCCCCCCACCUCCUGGCCUCCUGUUCUACCUCCACCACCUUCACCCUAGGCUCCAGCCACACCGCGGUCUCCCUCCGGCCCUUGAUCGCGCUGGUUCCCUGCCAGGAGUGCCCGCUUAGCCUUGUCCUGCAGGCAGAAGCUCGUCAUCUGUGGCAGCUGCUGUCCCGGCGAUGCCCUGACCUUUACCACUUCAGUAUGUUCCAGUCCCACAUCCGGAUGCCAGCACCUGCGUUUCUUUGCCUGGAGCUUUCUCUGGCCUCUGGAACCUGCAUGUGCCACUCUGUGCUGGGCAGAGGCCAGAAGUGCCAGGGAAUUCCCCCUCUCCCCCCAAACAGGAACCCCCAGCCACUGACAAAAGUUGGUGUAUACACACCCCUGCUCUCUCACCCCUGCGGCGGGCUAAUUCCAAGGCGUGUUCUGCCAGAGCUCCUCAGUGCGAAUGAGCCCUAGCUGCCCAGUGAUAACCGGCUUGAGAAACCACCCAGGAUUGCCCACUUACCUGUCUUACUUCCAC
rnacentral:lncRNA from 1 species